rnacentral:lncRNA from 1 species
GAGUUGACCAAGAACCAGAAUCUGAUGAUUGAAAAUACUAUUAAAAAUGUCAGUGAAGCCCCCCAAAGCCACUCUCGUACCACGUCUCCUUUAACCACUAUGGCUCCAUCAAGCUCCAGUGUUUCUCCUCCAUGUCCAGGAAACCAGGUGCUGCAGGACACCAGUAAUGGCUGUGGUUGUCCACCAGGAAUGGUGAACAUUGGGAACAACUGUUCCUGUCCUGCAGGAUUCAGCCUG